UCCCAAAAAAAAAAAAAAAUCUAAUUUGACUAAACUCUAUUAGGGCAUUUUUUGAAUAUAUAACAUUGACCCUCAAAAUAUAUAAACAAUGUGUAUAAUUAAUCAUUUUUUAAAUUAAUUAUAUAUAUAACACUAGCCCCCUCAAUAAAAUUUUUUUGGCUCUGCCCUUGCAUAAGCUUUUGUGUCAUUCCCUGUUUUGUGCCGUCUAUCAAAUGUUAUCACUUGCAGACCUAUCUCCAGUUGCAACACUGCCAAGAUUUCUUUUGGUUCUUUUUCUUAAUCAAUAUUUGAAUUAUCUCCAGGAUUAUGGUCUCGACUUUGAUGA
rnacentral:misc_RNA from 1 species